rnacentral:rRNA from 1 species
UACAGAGGAUGCAAGCGUUAUCCGGAAUGAUUGGCGUAAAGCGUCUGUAGGUGGCUUUUAAGUCCGCCGUCAAAUCCCAGGGCUCAACUCUGGACAGGCGGUGGAAACUACCAAGCUGGAGUACGGUAGGGCAGAGGGAAUUUCCGGUGGAGCGGUGAAAUGCGUAGAGAUCGGAAAGAACACCAACGGCGAAAGCACUCUGCUGGCCGACACUGACACUGAGAGACGAAAGCUAGGGGAGCGAAUGGG